rnacentral:rRNA from 1 species
CACUUCCACUCCGGCGAGAAGGUCACACCCGUUCCCAUCCCGAACACGGUAGUUAAGCUUCUCUGCGCCAAUGGUAGUUGGGGGCUUCCCCCUGCGAGAGUAGGUCGCUGCCGGGC